GGAACACAUCUAGGAGGGUAGGCCUGGGGUUAAGGUUGUGAACAAAUCUCAUAAAUGUGAGGUGUGGGGUGGAGGCAUAGGAUGUAGCUUCCCUGAGGACUGGGCACCAAGGUGUGGGUGAAGGCAAACCAUGCUGUAAACUCCCCAAGUCUUUACAAGGGACUGCAGUUCAGAGGGUGAAGGGAGGAAGGAGGGAGGAGGUUGCUGGGUCCCCUUUCCACCUCAUGUGGCACUGAAAUGCUCACAUUCAACCCCUUCUGCUGUCCCCCUCCCCCAUUCAAUCAUAUCACUGAUCACCCUGCCUAAUGCUCCCUAGUUUCCUGUUUGUUGGUAAUAGGACUUUUCUCCUUUGGUAUCACUAAUGAUAAUAUUUUUAUAUUCCAAAAAUGAUGAUAAAAGUAAUACAGUGAUUAUUGUUAAUCCCUUUCCUCCCUUACUGAUUAAACAUUAAUAGUGACUUCAGUGAGGAAACUCAUUAAUAAGACACACCAACAAGCAUCUUUCCAAGGCCUCAUCAGAAUGUUCCAACAGCAAAUAAAUACCUUGGUGAUAGGUUGAGAAGCAGGAGAACCACUCAAUAAUGCAGACACCCUGUGGGUGGAAGACAAGCGAUGGGUAGCAUUUGGGAAGCCAAUAAUGAUCUUUUUUUUUUUAUUUUAAUAUUCCAAUCUCUGGAUGAAGUAGGUGCUCAAGAAAUGUUGAACAAAUGACUAUGCAUUCCAUUCCCUCCCUGUUAGCACUUAUUUUCUUCCCCAAAUUUGCCAUCCCCCAAACACUGUCCCUAAUAAAUAAUCCAGCUGCAAUUACUUUCAACCACGUUCUAUCAGAAGAAUUUGAGUAUGUGGGACUACUUAAAAAUAUCUUGACUCAUGCUGUCAAAUAAAGCCCACGUAUUAUUGAAUAUGAUGCAUACAUUAAAAGAAUGAGGUAAUGACUGUCUAAAGGACCUAACUUUGUGGGUAGCAAUAUUCUGAUUAUUAAAAAGGAACUUCUCGGAAACCACCAGCUUUUGCCCACUCACACAACUUCCCUCCUUCUGACAUUUGGAAAAAAUAACUUUCUCUGUCUUUGAACUCAAAACACUGAUUAUCAUAGUUGUGUGGGAAUUUAGAAACCAUAUAAUCCAAUUCUCUCAUUUAAUAAAUAAGGAUAUAAAGAUUGGAGUAGCUUAAUAAUUAGCUCAAGAUCUCACUUCUAGUUAGAAUUACUAGAGCCAAAGGACAAUGACCAGUAUCUCAGACUGGUGAUACUUCUCCCACAGAGUACUGAAUUUUUUUGUAGGAGAUCAGGGAUGAAUAUUCACCAGAUCUAUGGAAGCAACCUAUUAUGGUUAUUAGGAGUAGGCACAAAUGGAAAAGAAUGAAUGAAAUAGAACCAUUUAUAUAUAAUAACUUGGAAACACCUCCAGAGACUAUUGAAUGAAG
rnacentral:lncRNA from 1 species